rnacentral:rRNA from 1 species
GAUGAACGCUGGCGGCGUGCCUAACACAUGCAAGUCGAGCGAUUUACUUCGGUAAAGAGCGGCGGACGGGUGAGUAACGCGUGGGUAACCUGCCCUGUACACACGGAUAACAUACCGAAAGGUAUGCUAAUACGAGAUAAUAUGCUUUUAUCGCAUGGUAGAAGUAUCAAAGCUUUUGCGGUACAGGAUGGACCCGCGUCUGAUUAGCUAGUUGGUAAGGUAACGGCUUACCAAGGCGACGAUCAGUAGCCGACCUGAGAGGGUGAUCGGCCACAUUGGAACUGAGACACGGUCCAAACUCCUACGGGAGGCAGCAGUGGGGAAUAUUGCACAAUGGGCGAAAGCCUGAUGCAACAACGCCGCGUGAGCGAUGAAGGCCUUCGGGUCGUAAAGCUCUGUCCUCAAGGAAGAUAAUGACGGUACUUGAGGAGGAAGCCCCGGCUAACUACGUGCCAGCCGCCGCAGUAAGAC